AGUCGAGCGGAUGAGUGGAGCUUGCUCCAUGAUUCAGCGGCGGACGGGUGAGUAAUGCCUAGGAAUCUGCCUGGUAGUGGGGGACAACGUUUCGAAAGGAACGCUAAUACCGCAUACGUCCUACGGGAGAAAGCAGGGGACCUUCGGGCCUUGCGCUAUCAGAUGAGCCUAGGUCGGAUUAGCUAGUUGGUGGGGUAAAGGCCUACCAAGGCGACGAUCCGUAACUGGUCUGAGAGGAUGAUCAGUCACACUGGAACUGAGACACGGUCCAGACUCCUACGGGAGGCAGCAGUGGGGAAUAUUGGACAAUGGGCGAAAGCCUGAUCCAGCCAUGCCGCGUGUGUGAAGAAGGUCUUCGGAUUGUAAAGCACUUUAAGUUGGGAGGAAGGGCAGUAAGUUAAUACCUUGCUGUUUUGACGUUACCAACAGAAUAAGCACCGGCUAACUUCGUGCCAGCAGCCGCGGUAAUACGAAGGGUGCAAGCGUUAAUCGGAAUUACUGGGCGUAAAGCGCGCGUAGGUGGUUUGGUAAGAUGGAUGUGAAAUCCCCGGGCUCAACCUGGGAACUGCAUCCAUAACUGCCUGACUAGAGUACGGUAGAGGGUGGUGGAAUUUCCUGUGUAGCGGUGAAAUGCGUAGAUAUAGGAAGGAACACCAGUGGCGAAGGCGACCACCUGGACUGAUACUGACA
rnacentral:rRNA from 1 species